rnacentral:rRNA from 1 species
GUCCUCUUGUUUGUAUAUGAGGUCUGACCUGCCCGGUGAAAUUUGUUUUAACGGCCGCAGUAUUUUGACUGUGCAAAGGUAGCAUAAUCAUUAGUCUUUUAAUAGGGGGCUGGUAUGAAGGGUUUGACGAGGUGUUUACUGUCUCAUUUAAUGUGUAUUUAGAAUUUAACUUUUCAGUUAAAAGGCUGAAAUUAUAUUGGAAGACGAGAAGACCCUAUAGAGCUUUAUAAUUAAAAUUUUAAUUAUUUUUUGUUUAUUAUUUUUUAUUAUUAUUUUAAUUAUUUUGUUGGGGUGACAAAAAUAUAUAAUUAACUUUUUUAUUUAAUUAACAUUGAUUUAUGAUUAUUAGAUCCAUUAUUAGUGAUUGUUAGAUUAAGUUACC